rfam:Aedes aegypti strain Liverpool supercont1.1 genomic scaffold, whole genome shotgun sequence.
GCGCGAUGAUUUUCUGUGAUUAUCCGGCGGAAUACAACCCGAAGACCCACGGACCUCACGAUUCUGUCCGUUACUAUGGCAAGCCGGAUACGCC